rnacentral:rRNA from 1 species
GUCUAUCUGAAGAUAUUCAUAGUCUAACCUGCUCACUGACUAACAUGUUAAAUAGCCGCGGUAUUUUGACCGUGCAAAGGUAGCAUAAUCAUUAGUUUUUUAAUUGAAAACUUGUAUGAAAGGUUGAACAAGGAAAAAACUGUCUUUAAAAUUAAAAUUGAAUUUAACUUUUAAGUGAAAAGGCUUAAAUUUUUUAGAGGGACGAUAAGACCCUAUAAAGCUUUAUAAAUUAAUAGAUCUUAUAUAUUUUGUAAAGUAAAAAAAAGUUCUAAAAAUUUUAUUUGGUUGGGGCGACAAUGGUAAAAUUAAAAUAACUGCUAAAAAAUAAAACAAAUAUAAGUGGAUAAUAAAUAGUAAUUGAUCCUUUGUAGAGAUUAAAAGAUCAAGUUACUUUAGGGAUAACAGCGUUAUUUCCUUUAAGAGCCCUUAUCAAAAAGGAAGUUUGCGACCUCGAUGUUGAAUUAAAAUAUCUUUACAGUGCAGCAGCUGUAAAAGAAGGUCUGUUCGACCUUUAAUUUUUUACAUGAUUUGAGUUCAGACCGGCGAGAGCCAGGUCGGUUUCUAUCUUCUAAAGAGAAAAGAAUGCUUUAGUACGAAAGGAUUAAGCAAUCAAAAGUUUUUUAAAUAUUAUUGAAAU